rnacentral:rRNA from 1 species
UUAGGAAUCUUCCACAAUGGGCGCAAGCCUGAUGGAGCGACGCCGCGUGAGGGACGAAGGCUCUAGAGUUGUAAACCUCUAAAAGGGGGACGAUAAUGACGGUACCCCUUGAAAAGCACCGGCUAACUCAGUGCCAGCAGCCGCGGUAACACUGAGGGUGCAAGCGUUAUCCGGAAUCACUGGGCGUAAAGGGCGUGUAGGCGGUCUGUUAAGUCCGAUGUUAAAGACUGGGGCUCAACCCCAGCACGGCGUUGGAUACUGGCGAACUAGACGGCUGGAGAGGCAAGUAGAAUUACCAGUGUAGCGGUGAAAUGCGUAGAUACUGGUAGGAAUACUCAUUGCGAAGGCAGCUUGCUGGACAGCACGUGACGCUAAGGCGCGAAAGUGUGGGGAGCAAACCGGAUUAGAUACCCCCGUAGUCC